CCCCUAGAUGUUCUGGGCCGCACGCGCGCUACACUGAACAGUUCAACAAGUCUUAACCUUGGCCGAUAGGUCUGGGUAAUCUUUGAACGCUGUUCGUGAUUGGGAUAGACCUUUGCAAUUAUGGGUCUUCAACGAGGAAUUCCUAGUAAACGCAAGUCAUCAGCUUGCAUUGAUUACGUCCCUGCCCUUUGUACACACCACCCGUCGCACCUACCGAUUGAAUGGUCCGGUGAAAUCUCGGGACGGCGGCUUGGUCGCUUGCGUCCGACUGCUGAAACUUGAUUAAACCAUAUCAUUUAGAGGAAGGUGAANUCGUAACA
rnacentral:rRNA from 1 species